CUUGCGCGGCUUCUAGGCGGCCAGUGGGAGCGAUAUUCAAACGUUCAAACCGUUAGCAAGCUCGUCCGGGUUGCAGGAUGGAGGUGUUGUGGUGUGAUGUUACAAUUGUGAGCGAGUUGUGCGUUGUGUUGUGAGUUGUGUGAGCGACUUGAAUUGUGUUCAUUUGUUUGACUGCUUGUGAGUGUAGCUGGGAGAAAAGACACCACUCUGGAACCAGACUGUACGCUGAGGUGCCAAAAAAAUGUGGAUGCCAUCACGCACAUCUCGACGAAAUGUCAGUGUUCCCGUGAGUGAGAGCCUGCAAGCAAUACGUUCGUAAGGUACAGCGGCGAAACUAACAAUGUGACGGCAACGAGGGUAGCCGGUACCCUCAGUCAGGGCACGAUAAUACGAGUAACAGCGGUCCAAUGCUCUUGGAACACUGCGCGUUUCUAUCCCGCAAUUCUCAAACAAGUGGUUCGCAUGUCACGGACAUUUAUGAAGACGCUUCCGAUGAAGGUAUAGAAGAAGUACAUGUGUUACACCAGCGAGGGUCACAUAUGGCUCAUUUGAGCAACGCUUGUACGGAACAGGCGUUACCGAUGGCAAAGUGUCGAUGACUAAAGUGCAUGGACGCUUGUACAGAUGUUCAGUCACAGGUGCAAUUCUGAAGGACACUCUCCACUAACAUACAUGGACUUGAGCGACGUUCAAGAAAAUUCUGUCACGCCAACUUCUGCAGCAUGACUGUUCUCCCGCACUGAAAGACCUCCCUUGUAUGUCAACGUCAAAAAUCGCAGACCAAUCCAAGAUGUGCCGCCUCCACCUACUUGGCAACCUUAUUCUCACCGUAUGAUUCAUUCCAGUGUUUCAUGGCCUUGCAUUGAACG